rnacentral:rRNA from 1 species
UGGUCAAGUUAUUAAGGGUGCAGGGCGGAUGCCUUGGCACUAGGAGCCGAUGAAGGACGUGAUAAGCUGCGAUAAGCUUCGGGGAGUUGCACGUAAACUUUGAUCCGAAGAUUUCCGAAUGAGGAAACUCACUUAGAGUAAUGUCUAAGUAUCAUUAAGUGAAUACAUAGCUUAAUGAGGGGAACUCAGGGAACUGAAACAUCUAAGUACCUGAAGGAAGAGAAAGAAAUUCGAUUCCGUAAGUAGCGGCGAGCGAACGCGGAUUAGCCCAAACCAAUAAAGUUUUCUUUAUUGGGGUUGCGGACAUAUCAUAACGAAGAGGUA